UACGGGGGGGGCAAGCGUUGUUCGGAAUUACUGGGCGUAAAGGGCUCGUAGGUGGCCAACUAAGUCAGACGUGAAAUCCCUCGGCUUAACCGGGGAACUGCGUCUGAUACUGGAUGGCUUGAGUUCGGGAGAGGGAUGCGGAAUGCCAGGUGUAGCGGUGAAAUGCGUAGAUAUCUGGAGGAACACCGGUGGCGAAGGCGGCAUCCUGGACCGACACUGACACUGAGGAGCGAAAGCCAGGGGAGCAAACGGG
rnacentral:rRNA from 1 species